CCUACGGGGUGCAGCAGUGAGGAAUAUUGGUCAAUGGUCGGGAGACUGAACCAGCCAAGCCGCGUGAGGGAUGAAGGUACAGAGUAUCGUAAACCUCUUUUGUCAGGGAACAAAGGCGGGUACGUGUCCCCGGAUGAGUGUACCUGAAGAACAAGCAUCGGCUAACUCCGUGCCAGCAGCCGCGGUAAUACGGGGGAGGCGAGCGUUAUCCGGAUUUAGUGGGUUUAAAGGGUGCGCGGGCUGUCUGUUAAGUCAGCGGUCAACGCCGGGGGCUCAACCCCGGCCCGCCGUUGAAACUGGGAGUCUGGAGUUGGAGAGAAGUAUGCGGAAUGCGCGGUGUAGCGGUGAAAUGCAUAGAUAUCGCGCAGAACUCCGAUUGCGAAGGCAGCAUGCCGGCUCCACACUGACGCUGAGGCACGAAAGCGUGGGUAUCGAACAGGAUUAGAUACCCGUGUAGUC
rnacentral:rRNA from 1 species